UACGUAGGGGGCAAGCGUUGUCCGGAUUUAUUGGGCGUAAAGAGCGUGUAGGCGGCCAUACAGGUCCGUUGUGAAAACUCGAGGCUUAACCUCGAGACGUCGAUGGAAACCGUAUGGCUAGAGUCCGGAAGAGGAGAGUGGAAUUCCUGGUGUAGCGGUGAAAUGCGCAGAUAUCAGGAAGAACACCCGUGGCGAAGGCGGCUCUCUGGGACGGUACUGACGCUGAGUGAGCGAAAGCCAGGGGAGCAAACGGG
rnacentral:rRNA from 1 species